AAGUCGUAACAAGGUUUCCGUAGGUGAACCUGCGGAAGGAUCAUUAUCGAAAAAGCAAAGACUGUAGCUGGUCCCUACUAGGGGCAUGUGCACGUCGAGCCUUUUAUCACACCUGUGCACCUGUUGUAGAUUCUCGAAAGAGGAUCUAUGUAUUUUUACAAUCACAUGUAUUUGUAUGUCUAUAGAAUGAAUGUUAUAAAGUUAUACAACUUUCAGCAACGGAUCUCUUGGCUCUC
rnacentral:misc_RNA from 1 species